GCAAGUCAAGGGAGUGAUCGCACUCCAGGCAACUGGGUGAGUAACACGUUGGUAAUAUACCCCUGUCUCGAGUAUAACCAUGCUAAAGCGUGGAUAAUACUCGAUGGAAGUGAGGGGACAUAAGUCAUUCUCACUUAAAGUUUUAACGGACAGGGAAGAGCCUACGUCUGAUUAGUUAGUUGGUAGGGUAACGGCCUACCAAGACCAUGAUCAGUAGGGGACCCGAGAGGGUGACC
rnacentral:rRNA from 1 species